rnacentral:rRNA from 1 species
GACCUCAAAUCAAACAAGGUUACCCGCUGAAUUUAAGCAUAUUAAUAAGCGGAGGAAAAGAAACUAACCAGGAUUCCCCUAGUAACGGCGAGUGAAACGGGAACAGCGCAAAUUUGAAAUCUGAGCGUAAGCUCCGAGUUGUAAUUUAUGGAGUGUACAUCACAGUUAUCUCAUCUAUGCUCAAAUGUUUUUGGAACAUACUGCCAGAGAGGGUGAUAGCCCCGUUUGCAGUGUGGUAUGAGAUGGCAACAUGUGUUGUGCUCUUUGAGAGUCGGGUUGCUUGGGAUUGCAGCCUAAAAUGCGUGGUAAAUCUCACGUAACGCUAAAUAUUGACGAGAGACCGAUAGCGAACAAGUAGUGUGAACGAAAGAAGAAAAGUACUUUGAAAAGAGAGUGAAAAGUCCUUGAAAUUGUUAAAAGGGAAGCGCUUAAAACCAGUCUUUGAUACUUAAUAUCAUUAAGUGUCUUUAUUUCUGUUCCGCAUUCUUUCGGGAGUGUGUCACUCAGGGAUGAAGAUAGGUUAAUAUCAAUUCAUUAUUGAGUAAAAGUCUGUUGAUGAAGGUGGGAUCGGCUUCUAUUUCGGUAGUUCUGAUUCUCAAGGCGUCUGGCAGGUGCUACUUGAUGAUGGAUUGAGGAAUUUCACUUUAGUUCCCUUGCUGCUUUUUGUAUGUUGUGAAAUGUAACACUGGGAAAAAUCUCUCUGUUGCGUUGAUCAGUGUGUAAAGAGGGUAGUAAGGUGCUGGAUGUGAGGAUAUUAACACAAUGGUUUUAAUCGACCCGUCUUGUAACACGGACCAAGGAGUCUAACAAAUAUGCGAGUAUGAAGGUACUUUCUAAUCUAAACCUUUGGAUGCGAAAUGAAAGUAAAGGCAAUUCUUUAGAAUUGCUCAAGUGGGAUCUCAUUGUAAUGAUGAAGAGCACCAUUGACCGAUCAGGAUAGAACAAGCAAUUGUUUUGAAAGAUUUGAGUAAGAGCAUAUCUGUUGGGACCCGAAAGAUGGUGAACUAUGGGUGAGUAGGGCGAAGUCAGAGGAAACUCUGAUGGAGGCUCGAAGCGAUGCUGACGUGCAAAUCGCUCGUCAAACUUGCCUAUAGGGGCGAAAGACUAAUCGAACCAUCGAGUAGCUGGUUCCCUCCGAAGUUUCCCUCAGGAUAGCAGGAGUUAUGUAGUAAACAGUUAUGUCUGGUAAAGCGAAUGAUUAGAGGUCCUGGGGAAGAAACUUCCUCAACCUAUUCUCAAACUUUAAAUAGGCAUGAUAUCCAAGUUGCUUUAAUUAUGAACUUGGAUUACGAAUGGCAAACUCCUAGUGGGCCAUUCCUGGUAAGCAGGACUGGCGAUGUGGGAUGAACCAAACGUUGAGUUAAAGUGCCAGAAUACACGCUCAUAUAGAUACCAGAAAAGGUGUUGGUUGAUACAGACAGAAGGACGGUGGCCAUGGAAGUUGGAAUCCGCUAAGGAGUGUGUAACAACUCACCUUCCGAAUCAACUAGCCCUGAAAAUGGAUGGCGCUAAAGCGUGUUACUUAUACUCAACCUUUUAGUCAAAUUACUUUACGACUAAAAGAGUAGGAGGGCGUGGAGUUUAUGUAGAAGCCUAUGAGCGUGAGCUUGGGUGGAAUAAACUCUAGUGCAGAUCUUGGUUGUAGUAGCAAAUAUUCAAGUGAGAACCUUGAAGGCCGAAGUAGAGAAAGGUUCCGUAUGAACAGUAUUUGGAUACGGGUUAGUCGAUCCUAAGAGAUAAGUUAAUUUCUGUAUUAAAGUUGGGUAAUGUUUUAUCUUUACCCCCUUAUCGAAAGGGAAGACGGUUAAUAUUCCGUCACUAAGAUGGGGAUACUUUUACGGUAACGUAAAUGAACUUCGAUACAUCGGUAAAAGCCCUGGAAAGAGUUCUCUUUUCUUUUUAAUAGCCCGUUGAUGCUCUCGAGUAUUAAUUUAAAACGACCUAGGAAUUAGAUUAUCUAGAGAAUAGGUCAAAUGGCUAUCAGAGCAUCCCUCUUAUUUUGGGGUGUCCGGUGCGCUUUUGACGAUCCUUGAAACUCGAAGGGAAAGAAUCAUUCUCCCACUUAGUCGUACUCAUAACCGCCGCAGGUCUCUAAGGUGAAAAGCCUCUGGUCUAUUAGAAGAAUGCAGGUAAGGGAAGUCGGCAAAAUAGAUCUGUAACUUCGGGAUAAAGAUUGGCUCUUAGGGUUGGGUUGUUAGGCUUUUAGAUCAAUGCCUUAUGAUUGUUGGAGAGCUACGGAAUGACUGGUUGAUUAGGGUAACCGAAAAAUUGGUUGUACUGUGGAGCUUCUUUGAUUAUUUGGAGGAGGUCUUUAAGAUCCUUCUUUAUCUUUCGGGAUGAAGAACUCCUGGCAACAAUUAACAAUCAACUAAGAACUGAUACGGUCAAGGGGAAUCCGACUGUUUAAUUAAAACAAAGCAUUGUGAUGGCCGGGGAUUCGGUGUUGACACAAUGUGAUUUCUGCCCAGUGCUCUGAAUGUCAAAGUGAAGAAAUUCGACC